AUUGAACGCUGGCGGCAGGCCUAACACAUGCAAGUCGAGCGGCAACAGGACUAGCUUGCUAGUUGCUGACGAGCGGCGGACGGGUGCGUAACACGUAGGAAUCUGCCCGGUAGUGGGGGAUAGCCCGGAGAAAUCCGGAUUAAUACCGCAUACGCCCUAAGGGGGGAAAGAUGGCCUCUUCUCGAAAAGCUAUCACUAUCGGAUGAGCCUGCGUCGGAUUAGCUAGUUGGUGAGGUAAAGGCUCACCAAGGCGACGAUCCGUAGCUGGUCUGAGAGGAUGAUCAGCCACACUGGGACUGAGACACGGCCCAGACUCCUACGGGAGGCAGCAGUGGGGAAUAUUGCACAAUGGGCGCAAGCCUGAUGCAGCCAUGCAGCGUGUGUG
rnacentral:rRNA from 1 species